GCCGCCGCGCCCCCAUGUCCCAGCUGCCGUGCCCCCAGGCCCCCGCCGCCGCGCCCCAGGUCCAGGUCACCACGCCCCCAGGCCCCCACCAUCGCGCCGCAUUGCUACCUCAGCUACGACCCCAGGCCCCGGCCGCCGCACCGCCAGGCCACCUCCGCCGUGCCACCAGGCCAAGGCCACCGCACUACCAGGCCACCUCCACCACGCCGCCUACCUUCCUCCAUAGCGCUGCCCCCUCCCAGUCCCGCCUAGGCACCGCGCCACCACCUCCCUGCGCCUCGGCCUCCUUCCUCCCCGGGAAUGGUCCGCCUUCCCCCUGAGAUCUCAGCGACGACAAGGAAGAUGACCGGGUAGCUGCCCAUCUUCAUGCAUGGCGCACCUGUUCCUUGGAUCCCCCUCCCCACUCCUCUCUGGUGACCCUACUCGCUCGCUCCGGUGACCAGUCGGGCGUCACACGAUAGAUCCCCAAGCUCCUUUACAUUCAGCGCCGCUGCCACACAACCUCAUCUCCAUUUUCUCUUCAUUACGACUUGUAGCCUAUAGGAGUUUCUUCAGCUGCGGGUCAACAAGAAAACCAGCGAUAGUCCAUGCACCCAUUCUAUCUCUUUCCUCUCUGAUGCUCUUUAUCUUACUAAUUUGUUUUCUAUUGGAACUGCAGCCCGAGGGAGGUUGGACGGACAGCAUAUUGGCGAUGUUAACAUCAGUCUGUUUAUAUUGAACUGAUGAUCGUGUGUUAAAAGUUUUAGAAGUUUCUUUUUGAGCUUCUCCCAAUUAAUAUACAUGAACUUGAUUCUCUUUUUAACAUGUACUUAUAUCAGCUUCAUUAGAUUUUGUGUUUGUGCUUGUAACACAAUCAGUUCAGAUCUCGAUAGACCACAAGUUCAAGUUCACUAGUAUUUAUAAAUGCUGGUAGCAAUACUAAUAUUUACAAAUUUGUAACCUAAGAACUAAGCUUGCAUCUUGUUACUUCUAUGGAAGCACUGGCCUCAUAAAUUUUUUGUAGGAGUAUUUGGUAAAAUGCUGUAAAACAAGUUUCCUUUUUUGAGAGAUACAGAUCAUGUGAAGCAGUUAAAUGUUGUGUUAGAAAACCAGUUUGGUUGUGUUGAUGUGAUGCCAGAAUUUUGAUUCAGAGAAGCAGAAAUGGGUUUUUUAUGUUGCAUUUUUAUAUCAGAACAAUUCACACACUAACUUCUUUGACAUUCAAAUUUCUUUUUCAUGAAGUUCAUAAUUUUGUGUCCAUGGUGUAGAUUCGCCGAUGCUCCUCUUUCUUGGCUAGUGGGCCAACAUGGGUGUCCUCAUGGUGGCCUCCCUCCGACGAUCUGAGGUGCCCUCAUGGCCUCCUCUGCUUCCUACCUAGCAGAUCAUGGCGGCCCUCCCCCACUUGCUGCUCAUCAUCAUCGAUCUCAACAACGAAGAGGGGCCAAAAUAAAUGUGAACCUCGUCGCCCUCUUCAUGGACUAGACCCAACCUCUGCCGCCAUGGCACGGCGCCUCCACCUCCCAGCGAAGGGCCACCACCUUCCUGAAGAUUUGCCAACCCCGACGAGCCCCGCCAGCCCUGGAGUUCCUGCCACGACGCCUCAACCUCCUGUUGAGCCAUGGAUUCUUGCCAUCCACCACGCGAUAAGGAGCAAGAUUGAUGAGCAGUAAAAGAUACAAGUUGCAGUUCCAGGGCAACCUGUCUCAGAUCCUUUUCAGGUUCAGUGUAUGCAGAUUGGGUUUGCAUGCAUUUCAUAGUUGGAUGGCUACUAAUCUCUAUAAAACGUUGGAAGCAGAGCUUUCAUUACUAGUCCAACCAUACUAGUGCCGGGGUAGAAGGAAGAACCUCUGGGCGCAUGAUGGAAAAAAUUGCAAGUUCUUGUUUAGAUGUUCAGGAUACCCUUCUCUCAUUUUAUUUAUGCUCAGGAUAGCAGGUGCAUGAUGGAAAAUUGUGUAUCAUGUAGUUCUUGUUUAGAUGUCGUGCAAGUUCAAAAAUUGUCGAUUUUGCCACUGGAGAGAACCCGUUGGUGCAUUGUUUUCCUGGUA